GGCCUUAUAGCUCAGUGGUAGAGCAUGCGAUUGCAGUUCACACUUACUGGUAUCGCAGGGUCCCGUGUUCGAACCACGGUGGGGCCU